rnacentral:rRNA from 1 species
UACGUAGGGUGCAAGCGUUGUCCGGAAUUAUUGGGCGUAAAGGGCUCGUAGGCGGUUUGUCGCGUCGGGAGUGAAAUCCACUGGCUUAACUGGUGGCUUGCUUUCGGUACGGGCAGACUGGAGGUAUGCAGGGGAGAACGGAAUUCCCGGUGUAGCGGUGAAAUGCGCAGAUAUCGGGAAGAACACCCGUGGCUAAGGCGGCUCUCUAGUACGGUACUGACGCUGAGACGCGAAAGCGUGGGGAGCGAACAGG